GGGUGCAAGCUGCCGCAAACCCUUUGCCGACGUGCGAGGUCGAGGAAAGGAGGGCGCUAGAAAACAGGACGAAGAGAGGGGCGUCGAUCGCGCGCGCACUGAACAUACCAGGUCGCUCACCGCGCUUACUCGGUUCAUCCACACCGCUUCCUCUGUUGCGCUCCGGUCUUUUUCUCGGCGCCCCUGCUCUCUUUCCACCGACUGCGUCUCGCAAAGAGAGAAGCGAUCCUAUUUUGUUGCGCAGGCCCUUGACCCUAUUACCUGCAGUGCUGGAAGGGGUUCUCGUUCUCGCUCCCCGCCAAAAAGUAGUCACGAGCGCACUCGCCUACAUGCACACACACACGUGGACAUGUUCGCCACGUCAUCAAUUACGCCUCCUGUCACUCACACAUGCAAGAGACAGGCGUUGACAUCCAUACUAACCCCCCUUCUUCCUCCCCAUUCGCACACACACACACACACAAACAUGCACAGGGAGCGUAUGCAAGACUCCUUUUCCCUCUCUCGCUUCUUUGUGUGCGCACCGAUCUUGCUGGUGACGUUGUAUUCGCGUUUUUUUUUUCGUGUGCCUUCUUCACCUUCCCGACACUUGAGCACUUUUCCCGUACCUUCGAGGUGCCCGAGGCUUCGCAGCCAGGUGCAGCUCACCGACUGCUUAGCAGGUCGCGAUUCACAGACAGCGGGCAUGCUUAACGGCAGCAACGGCGCAGUAUCGUUCUUUUAUGGAGCACGUGUCGCCGGCGAGAAUGGCAAAGAGCAGCGGUCAAACAGCGAUCAUGUCGUCGCCAUCACCCCCCCCUCCACGGCCGCCGGGGCUCGGAACGGCCGAAGCAAGGGUUGCUUUCAGUGGCGGUUGCUGGCAUAUGGGUGAGCCUGGUUAGCGCCACCAGCCAUUGUGGCUCGGAUGCCCAGCUAUCUAUACAACGCUGAGUACCUCCCCGACAUCCUGGAGUUUUCGCCUCAUCCACGCACUCAGGAAGGCACCCUUCGAGAGCCGUCAGGGCAUCCAUCUUGUGUACACGAUGGAGAGCGCUCCCGGCCGGUUCGCCCAUCUUCAAUGGCCCUGCAGAGCAACCUGCUUGCAUUCCGUACUCCUUCCACCGCGCCGGCAUUCGGCUGUUGCCGCUGCGCCACUGCUACGAGAAUAUUCGAAACCUCCUGUUGCCGUAACUGCUUAUCGUCGUUUCGCAGGGGCAUCAGCCAUUUGGCGUGGCGCUGUACACCGUUUCCCUUUUACGCCGACGCGAGAAUAUGGCGACAGCGGGCGACGCGAUGAAUUAAGCAGGUGAAGACAACGUGCUGCUGACGACAGAGCCCUGGCGCAUGCCGAACCUUACUGUGUCAUCCAUGGCUGGCGAGCGCACCGCCGGGGUGACGGAGCGCGAGCGUGCGGCGGGGCAUGCCGCUGCUCCACUUCCGCCUUCUCUCUCGCAGGGGCUGGGGUGGGUGGGUGGGCACUAGGUGAAACGAGAGGUGUUGCAUCGGUGCUGGCCUGGUGCUGGAGGGUCGCUCACAGCUGUAUUCGGUGACAGAGGUGACGUGUGCGAGGCUCGCGAGGUACGAAGUGGCGCCCACUCUGGGAUGGCCGAUCUCGUUGAGAUUAGAGUGCCGGCUGUGCAAGGCCAUGCCAUGGCCGCUGCAGCGCGUCCUCAACCGGCUCAUCGCGUUUCAGGUUGCAUCUGUGUCGGAGGCGUGUGCCGCGGCAGCGGCGGCGGAGGCCGUGAACGCGUCGCUGCGCUUCUACGGCCCGGCCGACGCCAACCUGGCCCUGAGCAGAGGGAGGUGAGAGGUGUGUCAGGAGAUGCAUGGCUGGCUGGUGGUUUAGCGGGGCUUGCUCGUCCGGCUGACACAGGAGUGCGAUGAAGUGGGUUAGUUCGGUGAGGGAAACUGAGGCGGAUGCCAGAAAGCGAGAGAGAGAGUUUGCGCGAUGCUUGAUGAUGCACGUCCGCGUCAGCCACUCCUUGACUCGCCCGGUGAAUUUUUGAGCGUUGGAUUGAUUGCCUUUGUUUUCACCGGUGCUGUGCACAAGGCUAGAUGCCGAUACCGCCCUGCCUCACCGAAACCACUCACAACGCAUACACUCACACAGCAACCAAAAGAGAGGAAAGCGUUGAAUGCAGAUGACGCGCAUCUGG
rnacentral:misc_RNA from 1 species